rnacentral:rRNA from 1 species
CCUACGGGUGGCAGCAGUCGAGAAUCAUUCACAAUGGGGGAAACCCUGAUGGUGCGACGCCGCGUGGGGGAAUGAAGGUCUUCGGAUUGUAAACCCCUGUCAUGUGGGAGCAAAUUAAAAAGAUAGUACCACUAGAGGAAGAGACGGCUAACUCUGUGCCAGCAGCCGCGGUAAUACAGAGGUCUCAAGCGUUGUUCGGAAUCACUGGGCGUAAAGCGUGCGUAGGCUGUUUCGUAAGUCGUGUGUGAAAGGCGCGGGCUCAACCCGCGGACGGCACAUGAUACUGCGGGACUAGAGUGAUGGAGGGGGAACCGGAAUUCUCGGUGUAGCAGUGAAAUGCGUAGAUAUCGAGAGGAACACUCGUGGCGAAGGCGGGUUCCUGGACAUUAACUGACGCUGAGGCACGAAGGCCAGGGGAGCGAAAGGGAUUAGAUACCCUAGUAGUC